rnacentral:siRNA from 1 species
AGGAGUAACAUGUGAUUGUUAUGC